CUUUUAGACCACCCUGGAGGAGCUUGCUAUCAAACCGAUAACCCACGAAAAACCUCACCAACUUUUGAAAAAACAACUUGUAUACCAUCGUCGUCAGCUUACCUCUUAAGAGAAGUAUGCUUAAUGAACCUUUUCUUCCUAACGUCAGAUCAAGGUGCAGUUAAUAAGUUGGGGAUUAGUGAGCUACAAUAACUUCUUUACAAAUAUGAAAAACUUUAUGAAACAAAAGUUUGAAACAGGAUUCAGCAGUAAUUUUUAAAAUAAAAUAGAAAUGAAGCUUGCUCUAAAAUGCGU
rnacentral:rRNA from 1 species